rnacentral:rRNA from 1 species
AUGAUUAGGAGUGUACCGAUUGGUGAGAAGCUCUUCAUAGGAGGAGACCUCAAUGGUCACGUGGGUACAUCUAACACAGGUUUUGAAGGGGCGCACGGGGGCUUUGGCUAUGGCAUCAGGAAUCAAGAAGGAGAAGAUGUCUUAAGCUUUGCUCUAGCCUACAACAUGAUUGUAGCUAACACCCUCUUUAGAAAGAGAGAAUCACAUCUGGUGACUUUUAGUAGUGGCCAACACUCUAGCCAGAUUGAUUUCAUCCUCUCGAGAAGAGAAGAUAGGCGUGCGUGCCUAGACUGUAAGGUGAUACCUGGAGAGAGUGUUGUACCACAGCAUAAGCUGGUGGUUGCUGACUUCCGCUUUCGGAUUCGUGUCCAGCGGGAUAAGCGUGCCAAAGUCGCUAGAACGAAGUGGUGGAAGCUCAAGGGGGUGGUAGCUCUAGCGUUCAAGGAGAGGGUCAUUAAGGAGGGCCCUUGGGAGGAAGGAGGAGACACUAGUAGAAAACGGAGCUUUAGCGCCGGUUCGUAA